UCGAUGCCUUGCAAGCAGUCCAACCUGUGAAUCAGUUUGACUACAUCGGGUUGGAUUGGGGUGUGCAACACCUCAACCUCCCUUGGGUUAGGAGGGGGCCACGCACUGUGUUCUCUCCUCUUAGCCAAAACACAAACCCCGGCGCUGAAUGCGCCAAGGAACUAAAAUUCGUUCAGUGCGCCCCCGCCGGCCCGGAGACGGUGCUCGUGCGGGUGGCGUUUUGACACGUGAUGC
rnacentral:misc_RNA from 1 species